GGUUUGUAGCUCAGUGGUAGAACGCUUGCCUUGCUUGCAUGAGGUCCUAAGUACGAUCCUCAGCACCA
rnacentral:tRNA from 1 species